GGUUGGGUUCGGUACCUAUAUUUUUGGUCUCACAAAAUUGAAUGUUCACCGCAUACCCUUAGGCCUUAGCUCAAUGUUAUGGAUGAGUCUACCGAGUAACAAACUCCAACUUCUACCCGCCCAUUUUCUACCACCGAAUUUCCUCGGAAACAAACAGCCUACUUUCACGAACGCGUUACUUAACUCAAACUUUUGAGUGUUUAGUUGACGAAAAAAGGUGAUUUCAGAGCAAUGAUGAUCCAUACGUGUGUAGCUCUUCGUCCGUGUCGGCCUCCCUUGAUUAGUUCAUCUAAGUCGACCCUUCAACGCCCUCCGAACUGCAAAUUCUCUGUUCGAAACUGUAUCAGAGACCCAAACAACUCACAGAAGUUAGUUUUGGAAGUUAAGGAGAAGCUUGAAAAGGAACAUUAUGAUCUGCCAGUUGGAGAAAAUGGAAGAGAUGACGAAGACAUGAUUCUAUGGUAUCUUAAGGACAGAAGAUUUUCUGUCGAAGAAGCUAUUGCUAAGUUGACAAAAGCUAUUAGAUGGCGUCAAGAAUUUGGAGUUGCUGAUUUAUCUGAAGAUACUGUGAAAAGUAUAGCCAAGACUGGAAAAGCCUAUGUGCAUGACUUUCUUGAUGUUAAUGACAGACCAGUGCUCAUUGUGGUGGCAUCCAAGCACCUUCCUGAUGUGCAUGAUCCUCGUGACAAUGAGAAAUUAUGUGUGUUUUUGAUUGAGAAGGCAUUGAGCAAGCUUCCAGCUGGGCAAGAACAAAUACUUGGAAUAGUUGAUCUCCGGGGCUUUGGCACCAAAAAUGCAGAUCUCAGUUAUUUAACUUUCUUGUUUGAUGUAUUUUACUAUUACUAUCCAAAGCGGUUGGGUGAAGUUCUCUUUGUGGAAGCUCCUUUCGUAUUUCAGCCAAUUUGGCAGCUGACAAAGCCCUUGUUAAAAUCAUACGCUUCUAUGGUGAAAUUUUGCUCCGCGGAAACUGUCAGGAAGGAAUACUUCACAGAAGAAACCUUACCAAUCAGCUUUAGAGACUGAGGCCAUUUACCUUACGUCCUUAAAAUCUGGGUUGUUGGGUAUGUUUAUAAUUUUUGGAAAUUCAGGAAUUCGAAAUUGACUUUUUCAAGUUAUAGAGUUGCAGGAUUUUCAAGUGUUGAACUCACUGUCAAGUUGUUGUGAUGUACCAGAACUUGCAAAGAUCAGAAAGGGGUUUGGAAUGAUCCUAGUUUGCUCUUUAUGAUAUUGAUGGAUAUUGAUGAGUUCCCUACGUUAAAGAAGAACGGACCGUUCUCAAGUUAAAGAAAUUGAAGCAGGUCAGGGUUCCUUUUAUUUGUUUUUGCGUCUACGCACAUUGAUGUGUCUAUAACCACAAAUGAUACCUCAAGAGACUGCGACACUACAAACUCAUGGAUUCGCACUUUUUACUGCUCUCGUGUUAACUUCAGUUUUGUCAAAUUUAAUCCUUUUGUUGCAUUCACAACAACAAUAGAUUUGUAUUAAAAUUUAGCUGGAUAUAGAAAUUCAAAAUUGAAGGCAAGGCCCAACUGUUUCCGAUCAAGACAUAUAA